rnacentral:rRNA from 1 species
GGCUAACGCUGGCGGCGUGUCUUAGCCAUGCAAGUCGAGCGGACUUAUGGGGUAACUUAUAAGUCAGCGGCGGACGGCGGAGUAACACGUAGCUAACCUACCCUCUGGACGGGGGAUAACCUACCGAAAGGUGGGCUAAUACCCGAUGUAGUCAUCCUGUAUAGGGGUGAUGAAAGGUGGGCUUCUGUUUACAAGCUCAUGCUGGAGGAGGGGGCUGCGGCCUAUCAGGGUAGUUGGUAGGGUAAUAGCCUACCAAGCCGAUGACGGUAGCCGGCCUGAGAGGGUGACCGGCCCGAGGGGCACGUGAGAUACGGGUCCCACUCCUACGGGAGGCAGCAGGCUAGAAAUUUGGGCAAUGGGGGAAACCCUGACCCAGUGACGCCGCGUGCAGGAAGGAGCCCUUCGGGGUGUAAAGCACUUUUGCAGGGGACGACACAGGACGGUACCCUGCGAAUAAGCCAACGGCUAACUCUGUG